AACGAACGCUGGCGGCAUGCCUAACACAUGCAAGUCGAACGAGACCUUCGGGUCUAGUGGCGCACGGGUGCGUAACGCGUGGGAACCUGCCCUUAGGUUCGGAAUAACUCCCCGAAAGGGGUGCUAAUACCGGAUAAUGUCUUCGGACCAAAGAUUUAUCGCCUUUGGAUGGGCCCGCGUUGGAUUAGCUAGUUGGUAGGGUAAAAGCCUACCAAGGCGACGAUCCAUAGCUGGUCUGAGAGGAUGAUCAGCCACACUGGGACUGAGACACGGCCCAGACUCCUCCGGGAGGCGGCAGGGGGGAAUAUGGGACAGUGGGCGAAAGCCUGAUCCAGCAAGGCCGCGGGAGGGAUGAAGGCGUUGGGGUUGAAAAGCUCUUUUACCCGGGAUGAUAAUGACGGUCCGGGGAAAAUAAGCUCCGGCUAACUCCG
rnacentral:rRNA from 1 species